UACAAAGGAAAAGGUGAAACCUGAAGAUACAGCUCCAAGUGACAAGGCUUGCUCUGAGGCUAUGAUAGCUGAUGAAGAAUUAUGUUCCUCUUAAAGGCAAUAAGAAAGGAACAGAAGAAGAAUGAAGACUCAGAUACUCAUAAAAGACUACCGCUUGCUUUCUUCCUGCUUCAUUCAGAAUACUGUCCAAAGAUCAAGAGUGAAUCACGGGGCUUGUCCACUGGGAAUGUAGCAAGGAAAUUGGGUGAGAUGUGGUCUGAGCAGACAGCCCAAGAUAGACCACCAUGUGAAGAGAAGGCAGCUGAACUAAAGGAAGUAUGAGCUACAGGAUAUUGCAUGCCUUGAGAGGGCAGAGGUGAUGCAAGAUAGAAGGGCCCUGGAGGCUCAACAAAGAAUGAAAAGAUGAAGAAGAGGAGGAAGAGGGGAAGGAGGAGGUAGAAGAAGAAGGAGGAGGAGUAGAGGGGGAGGAGAGGAGAAGGAGGAG
rnacentral:lncRNA from 1 species